rnacentral:rRNA from 1 species
CAGUCGUACCUGCGGACAAUCAGCUUUUUGAGUGUGAUUAUGUGGAUUGUGAGGAGUUUAAUCACCCUCAUGUUUUACGUAUUCGUGCUCUUGGGUGUACUUGCCCGUGUGGUAGGUUAACAUCAAUUUCGGUCGUCAUAAAAUGACUGGAGGAAUGUAGCUUUGGUCUUGUAUCGAAGUGUUAUAGACUCUGGUAGAUGUGACGAUUGGGAUUGGAGGUAUUGGACAACGGACUACCCGUUCGGGGCUACUCGUCUGAUCUC